rnacentral:rRNA from 1 species
CUAGGACCGCCGUAAUGAUUAAUAGGGACAGUCGGGGGCAUCAGUAUUCAAUUGUCAGAGGUGAAAUUCUUGGAUUUAUUGGAGACUAACUACUGCGAAAGCAUUUGCCAAGGAUGUUUUCAUUAAUCAGGAACGAAAGUUAGGGGAUCGAAGACGAUCAGAUACCGUCGUAGUCUUAACCAUAAACUAUGCCGACUAGGGAUCGGACGAUGUUAUUUUUUGACGCGUUCGGCACCUUACGAGAAAUCAAAGUGCUUGGGCUCCAGGGGGAGUAUGGUCGCAAGGCUGAAACUUAAAGAAAUUGACGGAAGGGCACCACCAGGGGUGGAGCCUGCGGCUUAAUUUGACUCAACACGGGGAAACUCACCAGGUCCAGACACAAUGAGGAUUGACAGAUUGAGAGCUCUUUCUUGAUUUUGUGGGUGGUGGUGCAUGGCCGUUCUUAGUUGGUGGAGUGAUUUGUCUGCUUAAUUGCGAUAACGAACGAGACCUUAACCUGCUAAAUAGCCCGUAUUGCUUUGGCAGUACGCUAACUUCUUAGAGAAACUAUCGGCUCAAGCCGAUGGAAGUUUGAGGCAAUAACAGGUCUGUGAUGCCCUUAGAUGUUCUAACCGCACGCGCGCUACACUGACGAAGCCAGCGAGUACUUCCUGACCGAGAAGGCCCCGGCUUCAUCUCAGUCGCCGACCAC